rnacentral:lncRNA from 1 species
UGUAUAUGCAUGUUUGUAUCCAUCUCUAUAAGCAAGUUGCAAAAUGUUCACCAUUUAAAAUUAAGAUCACGUUUAAGAAGUAUUCAUAAAUAAUUUCGAUUAUAAAUAGAUAUAAAUAAGUGGUAGACAAGUGGAUGCUACUUCUAAGUUUUUAAAAAUGUGUAUAAAAAAGUGAGUUGAUUGUUCACAAACAUGAGCCAACAUAGGCUAAGUAAUUAAUACAAUUCAAUUUACACCAAACACGACACAAGUCAUUGAAUUACACAAUUGUACAGCAUAGUAAUACAACGAUAUGAUGCUCUAAAUUAAGCCCUCACCAAAUGGAAACCGAAAUUAACCAAGACGUGAAAGAUGAUCCUUGCUCGAUCCCUUCAUCUAGCAUGUCAACAAAUCAAGAAAUCAUUGUCCGAGAAUAGCUACAGAAGGGAAAUACAAAUAUGGUUUUUUGAAUAUACAUAGCUCUUGUUUGUCACCCAUUAUUUUUUCUACAACACUCAUUUUCAAUCACACAUUUUUCAGUAAAAUAAUAUUACAGGCAAAUUUAAAAAAUUUCCUUCUUUUUUAUCCACACAUUCUCCAUCAUUUUUUUAUCCACACAUUCUCCAUCAUUCUACUAUUCCAUAAUACAUUUUUCAAAAUCAAAGGGGCUCAAACACACCCUUAGUUUUUUUAGGCUCGAACAAUUUCUGAGGGAUAAUAUCUUCAAAAGAAAGAGGCGAUGCAACGUUUCCUUGUACAAAGAAAGGAAAGAAAAAGAAAACACAUGCAACCAAGCAUUUCGAAAAGUUAGUAGUUCUGUCUAGAAAUAGACAAAACCAGAUGCAGAUGAUGAAUGCAAACUUCCAUAAUUAAAUGUGUUCACGAGCUGAAUUAAAUCCAAGGAGGAAAAAGAAAAAACCACAACAGAAUGGAAAAUAAUAAUAAUAAUAAAAGAAAACAAGGACAAGAGGGAGAGAUAACAACACACAUAUACAGUUAUUAUUCAAUUAUGAACUCUUGUUCAAACCUGCGGUUUCAUCCCAAAGGUUAACGAUUAGAUGGAGUAGCCCAAUUCCCUUAUAAAAAUAUCCAUCCUAUGUCUAGCCGACGUGGGAUUUUGGCCCCACUUUCACAAAAAUCCCUCCUCAAGUAAAGUAUCACAUCAUAUCUACCAUCCUCAAGCAAUAAUCUAUCUGUCCCUCUUCUUAAUACCAAGAAGGAUCAUGUAUUCCAUCAAAUUCCAAUUCUCCACUGCAUUAGCGGCCACUGCCUUAUGUUAGCAUUACCAUCUUGAGAGCUAACCACUGAUUUUCGCCAUCAUGAUCCAACUUGGGGCAGGCCUAUCAUCUGUUGAGAAUUUAAUAGGGCUGCACAAAAAAAACCACGAAACAGCAAAUCGAACCAAAAUCGUUGAGUUGAAACCGUUGGCUAGGGUCCAGUUUUCUUUUCCAUCAAAUCGAAUCAAACCGUUUCAAAAUAGUUUGGUUUAGAUUUCGAUUUUCAAAAACCACAAAAAAUCGAACCAAACCGUUUUUUAAUUUUAUAAUUAAAAAAUUAAUUUUAUUAACUUAAAAAUUUUACAAUUUCACUUUUAAAAAAAUAAAAAUAAAAAAUCAAUUUAGCAAUACAAAUUACAACCAGCAUGUUGAAAUAAUUAUAGAAAGUAAAUUAAGUUCAUCAUUAUUGGCCUAUGAUCUAAUAGGUUCACAACACAUGUCCUCACCCGAUAUAUCUAUGAUUUAAUAGGUUCACAACACAUGUCUUCACCCGAUAUUUAAACUAAAUUAAAACUAUUCCAAAAUCAUAUGAAUGAAAAAAAAAACAUAUAUUUUCAACAAUCUAAAUCAUAAUUCAACAAAACUACAUCAACGAAUCACGUCCAAAGUUUCAGAAACCCUAACAUAAACUCUCAUUUCUCUAACAUUUGACGAUUGUUUGCCACUACUAAACGAAUCGUCAGUCACAUUUGUCUGUUAGUCUACUAAUUUCUACCUGAAUCGUCUCUCUCUCUUCUCUUUCAGUGAGUCUCAGAUUCUUAUUCAAGCCAUUUUUCCAUUGCUCUUCUUUUGUUUUUUUUUUUUUUUUAAACUUAUUAUACACCCGUGAGUUGUGGUUUGGAUAGAAAAAUGAAUGUUUGUGUGCCUAGAUGAUUAAUGAACUUUUUUGUGAUUUAGAAAGAACGAAGGACGGUGCGUAUUGAUUAUGUGGAAAUGUUAAAGUUCCCUAACUAGUACUACUACCUUCUAUUUUCAUAAAGUAGUUAGAGGAUGAAAUUCGUCAAUUCUCAAUAAGUCGAAACUCUAUCAAUCUUUAUACAUCUAAACAUAUCUCGUUCAAUCCUUAUUUAACAUCUCACUAGCAAGACGAAAAGAGUUUUAACCAAACUAUAACAGCAGAAUGUAACUCGACCUUUACUAACCGCCAUAUAAAAAUAUGAAUGUCAAACAAGAAAAUGUAAAUAAAAAUGAAGAAAGAUGUAUCUGUUCUAUUAACAUAUUUUAGCAACCAACUUUGAAAACAAUUUAUUCAUAAGUUUCAUGGUAAAUAUGAAUGUCGUAUAACAUUUAACAUUAUAAAUUUUCGUUUAAACUUAUAUUUAACUUAUGUUAAAUAUAUUACUAUAAUGUCGAUAGGUAAACCACGAAUUAAAAUCGAACCAAAUCGCAAAUUAUGGUUUGAUUUGGUUAGGUAAAUAAAAUGGUUUGAUUUGGUUUGAAAAAUUUUCAAACUGCAUAAAAUGGUUUGAGUUCAAAAUAUAGUGCAAAUCGCCCAAACCAAACCGCGUUCACCUCUAGAAUUUACCUUGUCUAUCCACGUGCUAAGUUUGGAGACUAGCCCUCAUUUAAGAGACAUGAAUACUUGUAAACUCAUUACGUACCCGUAUCCGAUACAUAUUUAAACUUGGAUACCCUCUAAUACGCUUUGAUAAAUGUUUUUUUAAUUAUAUAAUAUUUAUUAUAUUUUUUAAAUUCCAACCAAAAUGUUAACAUACUAUGCUGAUUAGUCUAAUUCCCUAAUAACCAUAUUAUCUACCCAUGUCUGGUCAAUGUAAGAUUUUGUUCGUACCUCCCCAGCGGCGCACACAAUGUUUAUGCAUGAAGUAGAAGGUAAUAUAAGAACACUUCGUUUAACUAAUUCAAGGGAUAUAACUAUAAAUGACUUGCUUAGAAGCGGUUCCACAUUACAAAUGUGAAGAGAUUACCCUAAAGAGCUAUAUCUUCUUCAAUACUUUAGCUUGAAAAUAUUUUUGAUCGAUUCCUCAAUGCGAAAAGGUAAAAUCCCACAUCCCCUAGAUAAGAAACCAACAAUCAACAUAUAAGGGCUUAAGAUACUCCUUUUGACAAGAUUGAUAUUUUAAGAUGGAAAUCAAGACUUAAUAUAGUAUCAUAGUCCAAAAAACUCAAAUGAGCAAUUUGAUCCAAAGCUCAAGGAACAGUAGGAUUCCAGGAUUGGUGAACCCGAACAAGCCAGCAUCUUGUUGGGCAAAGAUAUCUAAUGGUAAUUUAUUUUUCUACAGCACUUUAAUGAAACCCAAAAUACAAUAGGUACAACACAAAAAUUAUGGUGGAUAGACUAAUAGUUGCUGUGAUACAGUGGUUUAAUAAAAAGAUUCAAAACAGUGUGCACUGUCAUGCAAAACUGUUAUGAAUAAAAUACAGCUUCUCACUAUCUCAUCCAAGUAAGGUAAAAACUUAUUAAUCAAGUGAUAAGUGAUUUACCACCCUUCUCCAUUUUAAUAGCUAACUUUAAAACGAAAUAAGAUUCUGCCAGUUAAAAUCUAAACAGAACUAUUAAUAAAGCCUGAACAAGACUAUCAAAUAGGACCUCUGAGUACACUUGAUUUUUGCAGGGCACAUUCUUUUUUCAAGACAGCCAAGUUCAAUCGAAAUAACAUCAAUUGACAGAUUUUGGCUACAACACAACCCAGUUUCACGUCCACCGGAAGAGCAAAUUUAUCACAAGAUGGGACAGGUACAGUAACAAGAGACAAAUAAAGAUAUACGUGUUAUUGAGGCUGUAUCGAUCACACAGGAUGUGAUAAAGGAAAUACUAUUAAAAAGGUGUGGCUGUUCCCUUUUACAUGAGUCGCAUUGGUUAAGCAGAAAAAAGGAAAGCAUAAGCAGAAAAUCUAGCAUGUGGUUCGCAUAGGUUAAGCACAAGAAACUAACAAGACCCAGACUUGGUAGAAAAAUUCUAAAAAAUGCCUCCUGUAUACGUGAGUAUAUGGAGCAGAAAACCCAAAGAAAUGACAAAUGAUUACUAAUAAUCAUCGACAAGAUUAUAUUUUAAAUUAAAAAUUACAAAAAGAGUGGAGAACUAAAGAAGUAACAAGAAUGUAAUCAUACUUGAUCCUCUAGAAAGAAUUAGAUGAUUAUGGCUAAUGGAAACCAUCAGAGCUAGAAUAUAUGAUCUAUAUUUUGAAUAUACAAUGGAUCAGGUGGUGCUUUCCUAAGAUAGGGGGUGUUGUCCAUGUUAUCACAGUACUCUUCUUAAUCGAACAUACACGAGACAAGUGUAAAGAAUCCAAAAUCCAGGGUUUUAAGAUUCCUCUACAGAUAUAUUUCUACUUGUCAUCCCAAAAGCACAAAUCCAUAUUUCAAUAAAACCCGAAUACAGGACCAUAGUUCCUUUCAUUUGCAGCAUCUCUUAACUCACUGGUCCCAUAUUGAUACCAUCCCACAUUAUUUUCUUCUCAAGAUAACGUGAAACCAACUUUUUCGCCUCAAAUCAAGUACAGCACAAAAAAGGUGUGGAGAAAGAGUCAGUUACUGACGAGCUAUAGGUAUAGGAUUGAAGUUUGGAUGUUUUCUAGAGUAACAUCUCAGAAUUACAACUAUGUUUGAGGCCAAAUCCAAAGAUAUUCAUAGCAGCCAAUGACAACCAAAAGCUAAAAUGUAAACAAGUAAUUUGACAUGUCACAUGUAAUUGGACAAAGAGGGUUCGAACAUUACAAAGGAUGUCCAUGUAAAGAGAAAGAACAAGAUAGCCAAGUUUACGGCUCAAAGAAUAAGUUAUAUGUGAUAUCAGAGGGAAUCAUGUCUGAUUGACCAUAAACAUCUCGAACAAGUAGGGAUGGCAAAUUGGAUGAGCAAAGCGGCUAGGCACCUUUUCAUCAUUGGCUGCACCUUUUCAUUAUUGGCUGAGAGGCAAGCCCACAUACAAAAGUUUGGCCAAACCAAUACCAUCAAACAUCCAAUAAGACUCCUUUUAUUAAGUAAAUAAAAAGAUAACACAGAAUCAGAAAUGACAAAAUCCCCAGAGAUACAGAACCAGAGGAAGUGCAGUAGAUGUAAUGGCCUCAAAUAACUGCUGCACCGCUACCAGAGAAAGUUCUCCAACAUCAAGGAGACCGAGAGCACCCCUAACUCUCUCAUCCCUGUAAAUAGUCAUGUCUCAUGCAUGCAAGAUAAAAUAAUAAUCUAGAGAACUUGCCUCAGUAUUCUAUUGACUUGAUUCUCGAAGUGUAGCAGGAGAGACACCACAUUGGCACCCAACGUAAUCAUUAAAAACUGUCAGUGUAUCAGAUAAGCAAAAGGCAGAUAAACACGUCAAUUAGCAAUUAGAGAGAGGAGAUGCCCUAACCAGUGCAGCGCGACAUACAAGUCCAAUAAGGAGCCUACCAACGAGUCACACAACCAAUGGAGACAAAAAAAUCAGAAGGGCGUGUUACCCAAUACAGUAACCGAAAUAAAAGUAAAUUGAAAAGACAAAUCACUGUCCCCAAAGACGUUAAGCAAACUACAGAACUCUACAAAUACAAGGUGGUCAUAAACUCCAGGAAAGCAAUCUAAGAGAACAAUAAGGAGCAAAAUCCAAUACUUUACUUGUGAAAUCAUUGAAUUUAAUCUUCAUAGUAAAAUGUAAAUUCAUGAGCUAUCCCUCCAGCUUCCACCUAGCCAACAUUUUGCUCAUCGUAUUAUGAGCAAAAAUUAUCAGGUGAAGAUUUGUAUAAUUCAUACGAGGAAAGAGAAAUUAAAAGAAAGAUUUGCAGUUUUCUAUAAAACUUGUGACUUGCACAAAGAAUAAAAAGAAUUGGAGCUUAGAGAAUACAAAAUAAGACAAAAUUGAGAAUGCAAAACUUGGAAGAAUAAAAUAGUGUGUAAAAUCAAUUUGAGGGUACAAUGUUAAAUGAUUUCUGGGUGUUUUAUUCUCAAAUCAAUUAUUUGAAUCUAACGUUUAAACAAUAGGGGACCAAGGAGUAUUGCCACGGGAGGCUUAAGCCUUAAAACAAACCAAUAAAAUAAUUAAAAGAAAAAAAAAUAGACUUAUAAUAAACCAUAACUCUCCUUGAAAAUUCAUAGUAAAACAAAUUAUCAAAAUAUAAAGUCUAACUUGCAAUCUUAAAAAAUAAAAACAACAAUAGAGUUAUAAUUAGGAAAUAAUAGAUUCUCAAAUUAGGAAUCAAGUAAAAAGUUGUAAUAUAUUAUUAAAGAGGAAACAUCCUGAAUUCUCGAUAUCAAUUACUACUAACAUGAUCUUUGAGAGAAUCAUCAACAUAUUUGUUGCAACUAAAGUCAUGAUCCGCACAUUUGAGGCUUGACUAGACUACCCAAGGAUGGAGAGAAGGCACGGCAUCGCUAGGAGGUGUUGAAGGGUCACAACUAUCUUAUUUUUUCCAUACUUUGGCUAUUUGAUUAUCACGGGCGUAAAUGUCUUUAUUUCGUUUUUAUGUUUUCUUUAAAACUCAAGUACUAUGACUCAUGGUAUUCAUAAAGAAUCAACAAACGUAGUUAAUCUCAAGUUUGUGCACUUCGUAAGUUUCCGCUAAAUUAUUUACUAUUAGAGCAGAGUUUGAGAUCCUUAUCGAGAUGCCACACCAACAAGGCUACUAAAAUCUCACAAUUCUACCAUGGAUGAAGGGUUCAAAGAAGAUAACACAAGUGCAAUAACAAAUUAAUUGUUCAUGCAACGAAUUGACACGGUCUGCCGUCGACAACAAAGGUGUUGAUGCAUUUAAGUCUGGUGCAAGAGGUGGGAACAAGGCACAUUGCAGCUAGAGGAGCAACAUCCCAGCAAGAUAAGGUUGUUGCUAAAUAUACAAUAGCCUGAUAAUAGGCAAAAAGGGAGUUUGCUACAGUCCGACCGGGUGAACUUCACCUGUCAAUGGUUCCAAUUAUUUUGCUCCCCUAGUUCCUAGGUAGCCAAAACAAUUUCAAAAGGGACAACUCAUGACAAUUGUAAAUGGGUUCUAAAGUGAAAAUUAUAGAGUUUAAUGGCAGAUGAGAUUCUUUAUUGAGUUUCCAAUGGCGAUUGUAGCAUGGCAGCAAGCCAACCACGACUUCUCAAGUGACAAGACAAAUGGCUAAUAGGAUCAUUAUUAUAGUUGUAGAAAGUGGAGUCAUCGUUAGUUUAAGCGUUGGCUUAGAGAGCUUAAAAGGGAUUAUUUUUAGGUGAUGCCAAUAAUACCUUGAUUAUUUGUACAUAUGCAUAAGAAAUGAUAUUGUCGAAACUUAUUUCAAUAAUAAGUGCAUCAUUCUAGUCCAGUAGAGCGAAAGAGGGCACAACUCACAUACUUAGUGUAGUCAGCCAUUUAAGCCCAAAAAUUAAGAAAAGAAAUGUUUUAUGGUUGCGUAAAGAGAUAAAAAUAGUAUAAGGGAGUGUUUGAGCCACAUUAUUUUGGUAAUAAUGCAUUCUUGAAUAGUGUAUUGAUGGGAAAUGUGUGGUUAAAAAAUAAGGAAAAGUUUUUUAUUUGCGUGUAAUAUUAUUUUAUUAAAAAAUGUGUGAUUGAAAUGAUAUGAAAUCACAGUUUAAGAAUACAUUUUUUUAGAAUAAUAUGGCUCAAACAUGCCCUAAAUAUAUAUUUUUAAGAUAAUAGAAUAAAAAUACUAAUUCAAGUACAGCUCUUAAUCCUAUGCCAACUAGGAAAACUCUUAAAAACCUACAUAUAUUAGAAUUCCUUCAUUCUCUUUCCCAACCCAAAAAGAACUCCUUUUCCGCUCAACUUACACUCCAACCGGACUAAACUUGACAACCUAUUUUGGAUUUCUACUUGUGGGCUAUUUAUUUUAUAUUUUAUUAGUUUAAGUAGGCUGGCCCAAGCCUUUUUAUUUUGCUUUGGGCUUAUAUUAUGUAACUGGGCUGGCCCAAGCCCUUUUUAUGUUUUGUGUCUUAGAUAUAUAUAUAUAGCCCUUUGUGCAAGAAUAGACAGAGAUAUGAUAGAAUGAAUUGACGUUGAGUGUUGCAGACAUCUCCUUCCUUUCCACCGCCCACUUCUUCCCUUCUCUCCUUCUUCUUCCUCUUUCCUUUUCUGGUUUCUUCUUCUCCCUAUGUGACUGCUUCUGCUGUGUUUGUGUUUAUGUAAUGCUACAUCAAAACCACUCUCUCUCUCUCUCUCUACCCUACACGACACACAUCCGCACACAAUACACCCACAAGCUCAGCCCCUCUUUCUCACGACCCUCCCUCUCUUUUCACUCCUAAACACAUACAAACACUUAAUCAUUCACAAAACAAUAACACACACUUCUAUAUACAUAUACAAGCCCCAAAUCCUCUAAACCAUUCACAAAGCAAGCGCACAAGAACACACACAAGAUUCCUCUUCCUCUUGGAUCUAUCUCACACAUGCCUCCCCCUAUCAUUUUUCCAUUAAUUUAGAGCAGCAAGAAUGCACAGAGUACAAGGUCUUCGGGGCUGUUAAAAGAAGCACAAGACCUGAUUUUAUUCUUCAAAAUAACAAUUUUAAAGACUAAGGUGAGAUACUUAUUUACAAGUAGAUGUCCUUUUCAUUCAUGGUAAUUUAUAAUCAUUCAUUGAUACUAAUGGUCCUUUGGGACAACCUAUUUAAACUCUAGGAUAACCAUCAGACGAUUCUUCAGGACAAGGAGAAUUUAUGUUAACCUCCAGGUUGUAAGAUUUGCAGCGUUUGUAAAGAGUUGUUAUUCAUGGUUUUGCUUCUCUAAGGAAAAUAAUGUAUCCGAUCUAUAAUUUUUAUCUUAUAAGUGGUGUGCAUGUAUCUAAUUGUGUAUUUUUCAAAACUCAUCCUUCUCAUUAACAAAUUUCAGGUUUAAACAUCUUGGAUGGCCGGGAAAUGGAGUGGCGGUACCAAUGGACCAAUGAUCAAAGAUUAAAAUUCGAGUAGAACCUGGUUUCAAUUCCUCGUUUGCAUGUUUAAUUAGUUGCUGGAUUUUUAUUAUUUAAUUAUGAUAUUUGACGGAUUAAGGACCUUGGUUUAUGUUAUGUAUUUAAUUAUGUAUUUUAUAGAAGUUUGUAACCUUGUAUUUUGUUGAUACUGUGCUUGCGAAGUUUAGACUUUGUUUUAAAAUGUAAAUGUUGCACACUGUCCAGUUCUCCAGAUUCGUGAUUUCUACUUCAACCAGUUACCCCGAAGUGCAUAAAUGAGUUUCUAGAUGAAAUCAGUUGGGUUUGAAAACCUAGCAAGUUUUUUGUCCAUGAAAACUUGGAAUCAUGACGAUCAGCCAAUUGUAGAAUUAGUUGUGCUCAUUUUCAUGAACUGCGACAAUGUUACCCAGAAAUUGUUUACACAUUACUUCAUCGAUCAAUUUGACUAACUAAACAGAUGAGAUAAAUCUUGAAAUUUGGAUAUGUUGUGUGUGAAUGAGUUGUGUGAUACUGUAUAAGUUUUCAUAAUGUUUCAUGGUUGUUUGAUUGUUAGUUUGACGCCCAUUUUUCGAGUAGUGUUCUGUAAAAUUACAUUAUGAAUUUACGUUCGUUUAUUUGCGUGUUAUAAUUUGAAGUGAUUGUCUAAAGUUCCAUGAUCAUAUAGGACGUCACAAAUUGUAUAGUCGAUGGAUCGGGUAUAGUAAGACACAAUUUGUGAUGUGAUCAAAAUUAUGUCGUUCAUAAAGUUGGACGCUUUAUGUUGAUAAGAUUGUAUUGUUCUUAUUAAGAUUUGUCUAGAUCUUGAAAUAGGAAUAAUAAUGUGUUUCGAUGUACAUUGAACGGGACCGCGUAGAUGACUCAUUUGUAACCGUUUGAAAUGAGACUCUACUUGAUUAUCAAACAGGUCACCUAAAUCCUAAGUGAGUAAUGUACCUUUGAUUGCUAGUUCAAGUUCUUUGAGGUACCAAUGAGUGAAGUCUUAAAUAGAAGAUUGAUCUCGGUACUUUGGGAAUCGGGCCGAAACAAUUAGAGAUUAUAUCCUUACAAUAUUGGAAUCCAUUAAUUAUUGAGAUGAGACGAUCGUCACUCUAAGGUAUUUUCCUAGGCAAAUUGAAUUUGAACUUAGUAGGUCGACGAUGAAAUCGUUGGACUUUGCAUUGUGAUUUGAUUACAACAAAUUUGCCGUAUGAAAAUGAGACUUAGAGGGUAAUACAUGUUGAAGGGCAGAACGGUCAUUUUGCCAGUUUCAACAUAUUAACGGUCAAAUGGGGAUUGACUUGUGGAACAAUAAUCAGAGAUAUUGUUAUUGAUCAUAAUUUGCUUCUAUAACUAUCACUCGAUUUGAGAGUGCAAUCUCGAUUUUUCGGUAGAAUAAGUCGGGAUUAAUAGAUAUAUUUCAAUUAGUCAAGAGUUGACCCAAUUGAAAACAUCUAUUGGAGCUUGGGUCAUAUCAGUCCAAUUAGGUCUCUCUCUAAGCUCCAAUAAAAGGGGUGUGACUUAAUUGACCUACUGCAAUAAAGUCCAAGGAAAUUUGUGCAAUUUCCAAACCCUAAUAAGGCGUUAUAAAUAUGCAUAUUUUGAAUGAGAAUUAGAGUUAACCGCUUUUCACUUUCCCCAAAAAGGAAUUACACCUGGUGGAGAACAAAGGAGAAAAUCUAAAGAAGGAAGCAAUUGGCUAGGCUAUUAAUAGCUCUUUCAAAAGGUUAUCUUCUCCCCUUUCUAUGUGUAAGGAUUUUAUAAUCCAAUGAUCUCAAGAUCACUAAAAUCCUUAAACAUGAUUUUAAUCUUCAAAGGAAAAUUAAUUUUCUAUUGUGAUGAUUAAAAUUCAUUAACCAACAUUGAUAUGUCAGAUAAUUUAUGGUGACAAUUUGCGCAAACUGAAAAUUAGAAUCAUAACUCAAGAAGUUUAAGACUUCAGUAAUAGCAAAAGAUUAUACUUAUUUAUAAUUAAAUCACAACAAUUACCUCCUGCUACUAUCAAAAUUAACAGAUAAAUUUAAAACAGCAUAGUGAUUAUAUACUACACCGUGAUCUUCCCUUUGAUGCCUUCUCGAAACCUAAAAUGGCAUAAAUCCGCAAAUUAAUCGAGAACGCACAAAUUUAUUUUUAAAAAAAAAUGUUGCAAGCAACACACUCACAAUCACAUUCAUAUCGGCCUCUACGUCAAUUUCCGCAAGUUGCAAAAGAAUUUAAUAAAUUAUAAUGGUAUUUUAAAUUUGAAAAAUUGGAGGGUUCAGUUUGGUCUCACCGUGUCUGUGCUUGGUAAUGGCUGUAUUAUAGGUUGGAUGGAUCACUUUUCAGGGGCCGAUCUUUUUCUUCUUAUUCCUCUGCUGCAACUUUUGAACGAGCGAAAUUCAUUUUCAGAGGGGAUUUUUUCGUGAGAAAUAACUUCUCGUUCCUAAUUU